rnacentral:ncRNA from 1 species
UCAUAUCAGGAGUCAUACGUUGGACAGUCACCCUUUAUUUAUUAACAAGGCAAGCUAAGCGACGUAUUCCUGCCGCUGCUUGCCAAAUCCGGCGGGCAGCAAUCUCUCC